rnacentral:ncRNA from 1 species
AGAGUUUGAUCCUGGCUCAGAAGGAAACGCUAGCUAUAUGCUUAACACAUGCAAGCUCGAACGUUGUUUUCGGGGAGCUGGCAGAAGGAAAAGAGCUCCUAGCGUGAAGGUAGCUUGUCUCGCCCAUGGAGGUGGGAACAGUUAAAACAAAGUGCGAACGGUGCGUAAUGCUGGAAAUCUGCCGAACAGUCGGGGCCAAAUCCUGAAGAAAGCUAAAAAGCGCUGGUUUGAUGAGUGCGUAGUAUUAGGUAGUUGGUCAGGUAAAGGCUGACCAAGCCAAUGAUGCUUAGCUGGUCUUUCGGAUGAUCAGCCACACUGGGGACUGAGAACACGGCCGGACUCCCAACGGGGGGCAGCAGUGAGGGAAUCUUGGACAAUGGCGAAAGCCCGAUCCAGCAAUAUCGCGUGAGUGAGGAAGGCAAUGCCGCUUGUGUUAAAGCUCCUUUCGUCGAGUGCGCGAUCAUGACAGGACUCGAGGAAGAAGAAAGCCCCGGCUAACUCCUGCCAGCAGCCGCGGUAAGACGGGGAGCAAGUGUUCUUCGGAAUGACCUGGGCCGUUAAAGGCACGUAGGCGGUGAAUCGGGUGAAAGUGAAAGUCGCCAAAAACUGGUGGGAAGUGCUCUCGAAAACCAAUUCAACUUUGCAGUGAGCACCAGAAGGAGAUGGAAUUUCGUGUGUUAGGAGGUGAAAUCCGCAGAUCGACGAAGAACGCCAAAAGCGGAAGGCGCCUCUCUGGUCCCUACCGGACGCUGAGUGCGAAAGCAUGGGAGCGAACGGGAUAGAUACCCUGGUAGUCCAUGCCGUAAACGGAUGAGUGUUCGCCCUUGGUCUACGUGGAUCAGGCCCAGCUAACGCAGUGAAACACUUCCGCCGGAGUACGGUCGCAAGACGAAACUCAAAAGGAAUGACGGGGCCUGCACAAGCGGUGGAGCAUGUGUUAAUCGAUACAACGCGCAAAACUUACCAGCCCUUGACAUAUGAACAAGAAACCUGUCCUUAACGGGAUGUACUGACUUUUCAUACAGGUGCUGCAUGGCUGUCGUCAGCUCGAUUGGCGUGAGAGUGUUGGUCAAGUCCUACUAACGACGAAACCCUCUUUUGUGUUGCUGAGAACAUGCGCCUAAGGAGAAAGUCUUUGCAACCGAAGUGAGCUGAGGAGCGAGUGACGCGCCAGCGCUACUAAUUGAGUGCCAGCACGUAGCUGUGCUUCAGUAAGAAGGGAGCCGGCGCCUUUCAAAUUCGAAGCACUUUCUAGUGUGCGCGUGUUUUGAUUGCAGCUAGCGAGCAAGGAAACGGAUGCGCGAACGCGCUUCGCGAGCUCAAUCCCUGCUUGUUCUUUACCUUAAAUAGAAAGUUUUCUCGCUUGUUUAGAAAGUCCAGUUUUUGCCUUCUCUUGCAGGUGACGACGACGUCGAGUUGGCGGCGGACGAAGACUCGGAUCAGGCGAGCCGCCCGGUGUGUGUUACGUAGUGGGUUAGUAACGCCCCGCCAAACAAACGGCUCCGAAACAAAUAAAAGGUGCAUGCCGCACUUCACGAGACUGCCAGUGAUAUACUGGAGAAGUGGCGAUGACGUCAAGUCCGCAUGGCCCCAUUAUGGCUGGGCCACACACGUGCUACAAUGGCAAUACAAUGGGAAGCAAGGCUGUAAGGCGGAGCGAAUCCGAAGAUUCCUCAGUUCGGAUUUUCUCUGCAACUCGGGAACAUGAAGUUGGAAUCGCUAGUAAAAUCGCGGAUCAGCAUGCCGCGGUGAUAUGUACCCGGCCCUGUACCACACCGCCCGUCACACCCUGGGAAUUGGUUUCGCCGAAGCAUCGACCAAUGAUCACCCAUGACUUCUGUGUACCAACUAGUGCCACAAAGGCUUUGGUGGUCUUAUGGCGCAUACCACGGUGGGUCUUCGACUGGGUGAAGUCGUAACAGGUAGCCGUAGGGAACCUGUGGCUG